rnacentral:rRNA from 1 species
GAUGAACGCUGGCGGCGUGCUUAACACAUGCAAGUCGAACGGACUUUAUUUGAAGCCUAGCGAUAAUAAAGUUAGUGGCGGACGGGUGAGUAACGCGUGAGCAACCUUUCUCUCAGCGGGGAAUAACACAGGGAAACUUGUACUAAUACCGCAUAAGACCACAGUGCCGCAUGGCACAAGGGUCAAAGAUUUAUCGGUGUAGGGUGAGCUCGCGUCCCAUUAGAUAGUUGGCGGGGUAACGGCCCACCAAGUCGACGAUGGGUAGCCGACCUGAGAGGGUGAUCGGCCACACUGGGACUGAGACACGGCCCAGACUCCUACGGGAGGCAGCAGUGGGGAAUAUUGGGCAAUGGGGGAAACCCUGACCCAGCAACGCCGCGUGAAGGAAGAAGGCCUUCGGGUUGUAAACUUCUUUUACCAGGGACGAAGAACGUGACGGUACCUGGAGAAAAAGCAACGGCUAACUACGUG